rnacentral:lncRNA from 1 species
GAAAAAGUGAUAAUGCAAUAUGACAUUUAUUAGAACAUUCUUUGUUAUGCUAAGGCCUAACUGUGCCGUAGAAAGAAACCUUUCAUAAUAACGGGCAAUUCAAGUAUUGAAAUCUUGAGUGACUGCUAUGAAGACCCAGAAAAAGUGUGGAACUCAGUGUCGAUGUUAAAAGCAAGUGCUCUGGCAUCACACAACACAUAGCGUGCUAAGGCCCAGGCAAUGGGCCGUAAGUCUCCCUCAUCCAGUAGAAGCUGUCAGUCCUAUCAUUCUGAGGGACUUCGGCCAGCCUAGGAGCUACCCUGGUGAAGAGUGUGGAGAAGCAGUCUGCUGAGGACAUGGCAUAAAGGAGAGAGAAAAACACUCAUGGAGUCUCCUCCCGGAAACAUUCUGCAGACACAGAAAAUGCUAUUAAAUGAACAAUUUAUGCAAAUUCCUCAGAGUUGAAUGACAUUUGCAUAUGCCGUCUGUCAAAAAGUUCUGAUGGGAGAGAAUCUGAUAAUCUUCCUGCCUGAGUAAGGUAAGGGGACGUGGACAAGAGAGCUGAGAAUGAUCUUUUGAGCAACGGUCACGCGGAAGGCAUGGCUCCAUGAGUCUGCAACCUUCCCUUCUUGGUGGUUUUCUGGGGCCUGGUCUCACAUGACCAUCCAGUUAAAGAGUUAUCAUUAAAGGUUGU